UAAAUCCCAACUCACAAAUUAAGAAAAAAAUUAAAGAAUAAUCAAUGAAUAAAUAAAAAGCCGUAAAUUAUAGCAACAACAGGCUGCCAACGAAAUUAUAGCAAUGAAUUAGAGGGAGGCUGACACGAUUGUGAUGAAUCGGAGGCAAGGCUGACACAAGCAGGAUAGAGUGAACUACAAUAGGUUGGGUACAACGGCGAUGACAGCAGCGUCAUAGCGAGAUGAACGGUAAAGGGGUGGCCGAUAGGUGAUCGUGGUGGAUUGGGCUGUGUGUCGGCAAUAGUGAGAGAGAUGGUGAUUAUUGGUGAGUGUGUCAGCUAGUGUUAGAGACAGAUAGGGUGGAUGUUGUGUGUGUGUGUGUGGUUUUAUGGUUUAGAAAUACUUUAUUUAUUUAUAUUUUUAUUUUUAAAUACUUUUUAGUUUUAAGUAAAGAAUUGAUUGGUUUGUCG
rnacentral:lncRNA from 1 species